ensembl:lncRNA
UUUUUUUUUUUUUUUUUUUUUUUUUUCUCUCUGUGGCUGUAAAUGUGCUUCCUGGUAUUUUAAACUGGCUGUGUAGUUUUGUAUACCCAUUACCUGACUGUACAAGUCAAACACCAUGUGUAUUGUGUUGAAAGCUUUUGUUUUGUUUUCUUCAUGUGUGCAUAUUUAUAUCCCAGGGAAACAAGACACGAUAUAAAAUUGUCCUUAGGGGUGUCGAUAUGUCUGGGUCAUACAUUUUUGAGAGAAAAUACUGUUAUUCAAAAAAGUAUUUCCAAUGGGAAUGAUUAUGAAGGGCAAUGUAUAAAGUACAUUUCAUGUUGCUGUCUCUGUUUUCAUAUAGCAAAACCUCCUCGUUCAGGUGAUAACCAUGGUUUGUACAAUUGCCAGCUUAUUAGAUACACCUAACAUACGGUAUAGCAUUCAUGUCACGUGGUUGGGAGUGUGUGUGUGUUGGGGUGUAUACAGUAUAUCAAGGAUGAGAAUCUGACACUAAUCUGAAAAUCUGACUAAUCUGAUGAAGGGUUUCUAUAGAUGUGGUAGAGGAGAGCUGACAAACAUUGCAUAGCCACUAAGUGACCUAUAAGGUAAGCGUACCUGACGAAAUGACCAACGAGUGCUGGAAAAGUUGGUGUAGAACAAUCUUAUAGUACAAUUCGAACGUUGUAUAUUGUGUAAAAUCCAAACGCCUGUGAAUCCCGACUAACAGUAAUCGUUUAAAGACUUUAAAGUGCACCUAUGAUGGUUUUUCAGAUAUUACCUUUCAUGUAGUGAGUUAUAGAGCUGUUUGUGAAUGUAAAAAGCCUGCAACAUUUCAAAAAUCGAAGCGCACGACAAACAGAGUUAUUGACUCCCAAAAGAAGGAAUCGAUUCUGAACAGCUGAAACAAAUGAUUCCAGAAUUACUUCCUGUAUAAACCUACGUAGGUUUGUAACAAAAACGACACCUUUAUACGCUGCUCAUGAACAGAGAGAGGUGAAACUCGUUAUGGUAGUGGACGUUUUCUUUUUCGACACACGCUGAUGUAGACCAAUCACAACAGACUGGGUCAUCUGACCAAUCAGAGCAGAGUAUGCUCUCUGAAAGGAGGAGUUUAGAAUUAAUCUUUUAGAACGGAUCAUUGAUCGAGUCGUUUGUGACACUGAGGGGAGAAAAAGGUGAUGCUGCAAUUUAAAUUAUGAGCACGUUAAAGUGUCUUUUGACCUCAGAUGCAUGUAAAUCUAUUGUAUGAGACCUUUAAAACAAAAUUAGGCACGUUUCAAAACCAUAACGGGUGCACUUUAAAUAGAUUUCAAUAUUUCAGCCAUUAAAAGGUCUGUAGUAAUCUUAGAAAUUGUAAUGAUUACAAAGUAAUUACAUGGCAACAUGGCGUAUUAACAAAGUAAUUCAAAUGGUGUAAGUCUUUGUUUUUGCCAUUUGAGGGCAGCACAUCACUAAAUAUUCUCACUCAAUGACGUGGUUCUGGACAUUAUUUUGGUUCUGGACUGCUUGUUUUAUUUCUUUGCUCAGUACAUCUUGAGGUUUUGUCGGUUCAACUUACUGUGUAUAUUAUAUUUAGUGAUGGACGAUAGCGAUUCCAGAAGAAAUUCUGACACCUCUUCACCCUGAACGCUUUCCUGAAUGGACCUGAACAUUUCAAAUGACCAAGUACCUUUAAUCCAUGUCUACAUAUUAACUCUCUGUAUGAGAAACAGUUCUGUUAUGUUUAGUUAUCUGUUUCCUAUUAGUAUUAGAGCAAGGACAAUCCAUCAAUCAUAAGGUGUAGGUAGACUAGCAAGCAGCGACCUUCAAGAGUAACAUGUUUCACUGGCCAGGAUUAAGAUAAUGCAGUCAUUAUAUUUAUUUAAUUUUUUUUUUUUACGUGGAUGUUGCCUGCAUUGUUAAAUAAUAAUGCUCAUGUAGAGGUCAGUUUUCAGGGUGGAAGAAGUUAUAUUUUGGAUUCACUAGAAAGCAGGUGGAUCUCAGACAGAUGAUAUCGGAUUAAUCUCAUUUUCUAUACAUAUUUACUGCAUUGCAUAUCAUGAUGCUUAUCUUAUCUUGCGUUAUCUUUAUUCCAGAAUGGAAUUAUGGCCUGAUAAGGUGAAAAAAAAAAGAAAGGAAGGAAGAAAGUGGUCCAUUUCAUUGGAGCUGCUUUCAUCAAGUAGCAGCAUCCCAUGUACUUUUCCCAGGGAGCAACGUCUGUGGUCCUGUACAGUACGUCUAGAGGCAAGCAAAAUUUUGAGGUUUUUCUACUAAACAUGGGCAUGGACUGUGAUGCACUCAAAGCCAAGGAUAUCUCAAGUGCACCAUGGUGAAACAGCCCAAGCACUUUUAAUGAGAGUGGGAAUCUGAUAUGCACACACAGCACUUGACUUGCAUAAUGGAGGCAACACUAUAACAGCCCAAACGUGCAAAUACUGCAAACCAAAAUGUAGUUACUCGAAAUCAUUCUAGAAAUAAUCAACAUGUUUAUGUCCAGGACUUGGGUAUCUUGGUCAUCCCUGUUCAUUUCCUGUUUACUAUAUUUAGAACAUUUGAUUGCACUAUAGCUCUCUGUUGCAGAGUGAAAACACAGGGUGUAAGCUCUUUCCAAAAUUAGGGGAUCAGGUACUGAAUAAUGUACUGUAUGGGAUUGGGAUAUAGGCUAGCUUUAACCUUUUAUGGUUUGUGAUGCCUUAGAUAAGAGUAUCGCCACACACAAAGUCAGUACCAUGGACUGUGUCCAUUGCUACAGAUUGUCUAGGAUGGGUCAAGCAAAAGCAUGGCCAACCACACACCACUAAUUCCUAUACGGAAAACUCUCGUGGUUGGCAGCUCAUUAAGGAGAUAAUGACAACUAGCUGAGGGAGAAGACAGACUGUUAAAAGCAUGCCUGAAAAAGUAAUACCCCAGCUCUGUAUCUGCAGAUUACCAUGACGAAUCCAGGCCUUCAACAUUUUGGUGAAGAGCUAAUCCUCAGUUGCAUUGCCUCCUUACAACACAGAGUGACCAGAGAGAACUUGUAUGGCCAUUAGGAAUGAGCACAUUUGAAAGUUUUUAAAAAAUCAAAAAUUCUUAUUUUAUUUUAUUUUAAUUUAUUUUUAAUUUUCUGGAUGUUCAUCUUUCAGUGCUUGGGCCCCUAAUGGUUAAAUGUAACAUACACUCUAUUAGUCACAUUUAUGGUUCUGUUCUCGGACUUCUAAUUUUGGAAACAGUCUGUCAUUACACUUGUUCAUCAGACUGGUAAUCAGAUAUACUAAAGCAAUCAGAUAUUUUAAAAUUUAGUUGUGAAACUUUUCACAAAUGAGAAGUCUGAAUCAAGUCCAUGACUAUUGAUUGGUAUUUGCAAUAGAAGGUGUCUUUUAAAUCAAUACACACACAC